AAUAUGAACGAUCUUAGUCGUCCUAGAAAAACACUCAACAAAAAUGGAAUUUUCCAGAAAACUUACAAUUUUAAUGUAGAUCUAAUAAACGGAUCAAAGCGCAUAUGAAACAGUAUUCCCGAUCAUCCAUAUAGCCCAUUGGUUAAAAAAGGACCAAAAUCUGGUAGCCCAACACCAAAGAAGGCCGCUACCAGGCCAAGAUGCGGUGCUCGGUGCCUGUUUUUCCUGUCUUUCAAAGAUCAAUGACAUUGAGUAGGUCGACUUCGUCAUACCAGUUAAACAUUUCGAUCAUGUAAACGUAACAACAAAGGCACAAGUAGCAGUAUAAGAG